GGNUGUGAGGGUGAUGUGACUGCGACAUCUGUCGCCCUGUUGAUUGCUGGGGUCGAUUUGGCCGAUCUGGCUAGCUAGGCAAGGUGACUCUUUUCCCCCUUUGCUCUGUUCAUGUUCCUGCCACAUCUUCGUGCUCAGUGGAGGAAGGCGGCCGUUCAGACAGAAGCCAUGUACAGUUUUUCAUUUGAGGGUAUUUGAUAGCUGGCCUCCCCUGCUGGAACCUCCAAACAAGCUCACUGUCUCCAUUUCCAGAUCCUGUCACCCGGGGAUGGUCUGCUUGUUUGACUGUUUUGAUGGUGGGGUGAGGUGAGAUGAUUGGAAUCCUUGCCUGGCCCAUUCGGUGCCGUAACAG
rnacentral:snRNA from 1 species